AGCAGCCGCGGUAAUUCCAGCUCCAAUAGCGUAUAUUAAAGUUGUUGCCGUUAAAAAGCUCGUAGUUGAACUUUCAUGGGCUCACGCGGUCUGCCUCACGGCAAGUACUGUGUGGGUCCGUGCUCCUGGGUGGUGAGCCGUCAUGUCGUUCACUCGGUGUGACGGGGAACCACCUCUGUUACCUUGAGAAAAUUAGAGUGUUCAAAGCAGGCCUAUGCCCGAAUACAUUAGCAUGGAAUAACGAAAUAGGACGUGCGGUUCUAUUUUGUUGGUUUCUAGAGUCGCCGUAAUGAUUAAUAGGGAUAGUUGGGGGCAUUAGUAUUCAGUUGCUAGAGGUGAAAUUCUUGGAUUUAUUGAAGACUAACUACUGCGAAAGCAUUUGCCAAGGAUGUUUUCAUUAAUCAAGAACGAAAGUUAGGGGAUCGAAGACGAUCAGAUACCGUCGUAGUCUUAACCAUAAACUAUGCCGACUAGGGAUCGGAUGAUGUUAAUUUUUUAAUGACUCA
rnacentral:rRNA from 1 species